UCAAGCACCGGUCGGGGAAGGUGAAAACCUUCAAACAGUUCGCGCCGCGUAACGGAAGUUGCUGGCACGAAGGGUGAAGAGUUAAGCGACGAACAAUCCUUCUCUCCACCU
rnacentral:sRNA from 1 species